rnacentral:rRNA from 1 species
AUUGAACGCUGGCGGCAGGCCUAACACAUGCAAGUCGAGCGAGCGGCGGACGGGUGAGUAAUGUAUGGGGAUCUGCCCGAUAGAGGGGGAUAACUACUGGAAACGGUGGCUAAUACCGCAUACUAUCGGAUGAAGCCAUAUGGGAUUAGCUAGUGGGUGGGGUAAAGGCUCACCGAGGCGACGAUGCCUAGCUGGUCUGAGAGGAUGAUCAGCCACACUGGGACUGAGACACGGCCCAGACUCCUACGGGAGGCAGCAGUGGGGAAUAUUGGGCAAUGGGCGCAAGCCUGAUGGAGCAAUGCCGCGUGUGUGAAGAAGGCCUUAGGGUUGUAAAGCACUUUCAGCGGGGAGGCGGUAUCUGACGAGGAAGCACCGGCUAACUACGUGCCAGCAGCCGCGGUAAUUC